rnacentral:rRNA from 1 species
CAGUCGCCACGGGAAUACGGAGGGUGCAAGCGUUACUCGGAAUUACUGGGCGUAAAGCGUGCGUAGGUGGUGGUUUAAGUCCGUUGUGAAAGCCCUGGGCUCAACCUGGGAAUUGCAGUGGAUACUGGGUCACUAGAGUGUGGUAGAGGAUAGUGGAAUUUCCGGUGUAGCAGUGAAAUGCGUAGAGAUCGGAAGGAACAUCUGUGGCGAAGGCGACUAUCUGGGCCAACACUGACACUGAGGCACGAAAGCGUGGGGAGCAAACAGGAUUAGAUACCCCCGUAGUCCCUGUCUCUUAUAC